UACGUAGGGCGCGAGCGUUGUCCGGAAUUAUUGGGCGUAAAGAGCUCGUAGGUGGCUUGUCGCGUCUGCCGUGAAAGCCCGUGGCUUAACUGCGGGUCUGCGGUGGAUACGGGCAGGCUAGAGGCUGGUAGGGGCAAGUGGAAUUCCUGGUGUAGCGGUGAAAUGCGCAGAUAUCAGGAGGAACACCGGUGGCGAAGGCGGCUUGCUGGGCCAGUUCUGACGCUGAGGAGCGAAAGCGUGGGGAGCGAAC
rnacentral:rRNA from 1 species